UACGAAGGGGCUAGCGUUGCUCGGAAUCACUGGGCGUAAAGGGUGCGUAGGCGGGUCUUUAAGUCAGGGGUGAAAUCCCGGGCUCAACCCCGGAACUGCCUUUGAUACUGGGUAUCUCGAGUCCGGAAGAGGCGAGUGGAAUUCCGGGUGUAGUGGUGAAAUGCGUAGAGAUCCGGAGGAACACCAGUGGCGAAGGCGGCUCGCUGGGCUCUACCUGACGGCUGAGGCGCGAAAGCGUGGGGAGCGAACC
rnacentral:rRNA from 1 species